CUUGCCCUUGUCCCACCGGAAUCCGAUGGCUACUCUGGGAGACUCCUGCGAUCGGCCUCAGGUGGUGGAAAGACCAUUCUCUACAUUGCACUGAUUCAAGAAGAAAUCGACACAAGUCCUCUCCCACCAGAUGCACCUGAGUUUGCUAGAAUGCCCGAGGCAAAUUGCCACAAGUGUGGUAAACUAAUGCCUGUACAGCUGCUGCCAGUCCUGUGGGUCUGCAGGUCACAGUACGGAGCCAGACAAGGAUCUCAGCAUUGCUGGAGUGGCAGAGAUGGAAUCUGAUGUAAUGGAUUGUAGAGUGGUACAGGCAUCGUGUCCGAUCUGUCUGAAAAUGUAUCCCAUCGCUAACCUUGAGGUUCAUGCCAGUUUUUGUGAGAGAACCGAAGUGCAAGAUGGACCCCAUGUGCAAGUGAUAUCAUGGUAAGAUAAUAAGAAAGCCAUAAAGGGACAAACAAGAAUUUUGAGACAUUUCCAGGAUGCAAUGGCUAGAAUGGGCACUCACCCACCAGAGAUGUAAUUACGGGAGAUAUUACCCUAAGUGCCAGAAGGUAUAUUGCACAGGAGGUGGGGAAUAUCUCCCAAUCACUAGAGGGUGAGUGGUGCAUUUGUCAUCUAUUACAACACACUGUCUGGCUUUUGCGAGGUUGUAAGCAGGAUAGUUUUAAUUUCAGUGUCGGUGACGUGUUGAGCUGCAUCAGUCAGCGAGUCAGUACAGACGGAGAGUUCCGGAUCAGCGUCAGCAGAGAGAACCUCCUUCAACGAGGGCUGAGUCAAUGGAAGAGGCAGAAAAAAAGUUUACGAGCUAGCAACUUGAAAGUCACCUACCUGACAGGACCUGGUGUAGACACCGGGGCUCUCAAA